rnacentral:rRNA from 1 species
UACGGGGGGAGCAAGCGUUGUUCGGAUUUACUGGGCGUAAAGGGCGCGUAGGCGGUCAGUGCAAGUCAGUUGUGAAAUCUCCGGGCUUAACUCGGAAAGGUCAACUGAUACUGCUCGACUAGAGUGCGGAAGGGGCAACUGGAAUUCUUGGUGUAGCGGUGAAAUGCGUAGAUAUCAAGAGGAACACCUGCGGCGAAGGCGGGUUGCUGGGCCGGUACUGACGCUGAGGCGCGAAAGCGUGGGGAGCAAACAGG